AUGGGCCGGCCGUCCCAGGACACCGCGUCGUCCACCUCGCCGUCCGGCUCGUGCCGCUCGUCCAAGCGCGGCCCGCGGCUCGACCGCCGCAACGCGUCCAAGAACAUCGGCUACGAGUACGACCCCGCCAAGCUCUUCUGCAGCUACCCGCCGUCCCCGUCCCGGGCCUCCUCGGCCUCGGCCUCCGCCGCGCCCUCGCUCGCCAGCUCCGCCGCCUGCUCCGUCGACCUCAGCAGCUUCCGCAUCGGCGGCAGCGGCGACGGCGGCGGCGACGUCCAGCUCCUCUGCCGCAACCUCGGCCUCUCCGGCCCCGAGGACUUUGCCAUCUCCCUCACCGACUGGGAGGCGCACAAGGCCUUCCGCUCCUCCGCCUCCAGCUCCCCUUCCGCGCGCUCGCAGCCCGACCGCGCCGUUCGGGAGUCCCCGCUCCGCCACGAGGCCGCCGAGGACCCGGCCUUGCCCGCGGCCGCUGAUUUCGAGCUCCCUGCCAAGGAAACUGCCAGGGACGCGCCGGUUGAGGCGCCAGUGCGGCCGGCAUGGUUGGAUCCGCCAGAGCCAGCCCGUCCCGAUGUGAGGAAACCAGGCUGCGAUGGAGGGAUUAAGGGCGUGCGCCCUCCGCCGGUGAUGCUCAAGCCACCGCCGUCGAUGGCGCUGCCGCCCGCCGCCCAGGUUGGUUCCACGUGGGAUCUCCUGCUGUCUUUCGCGCCAGAGGAGCAAGGGCAACCACAGGCAAUCAGAUCUGUUCCUGAUUUUGGAGACCCGGAUGCCGAGGAGGACGAGGAUGCGGCGGAAGUGUUGACGUUGGAAGAUCUCAGGCUGGGGGAGAGCUCCGAGGAAUUCACAGGCACGUCCUCGAUAUCCACGACAAACGACGAUGAGACAACCGAGUCUAUGUUCUACAUCUCGCCCAACGGGAGGUUUAAGAGGAAGAUCCGGUCGUGGAGUCGAGGUGUGCUCUUGGGGAGUGGCUCCUUUGGGACGGUCUAUGAGGGGAUCAGCGACGAGGGUGUCUUUUUUGCUGUCAAAGAAGUGUCCUUACAUGAUCAAGGGAGCAACGCACAGCAGUGUAUUUUCCAACUUGAGCAGGAAAUUGCACUCUUGAGUCAGUUUGAACAUGAGAAUAUAGUACACUACUUCGGAACUGACAAAGAGGACUCGAAACUAUACAUCUUCCUUGAACUAGUGACCCAAGGAUCUCUUGUAUCUUUGUAUCAGAAGUACCGCCUACGAGAUACUCAUGUUUCGGCAUACACAAGACAAAUACUUAAUGGAUUGAAUUACCUCCAUGAGAGGAAUAUUGUUCAUAGAGAUAUUAAAUGUGCCAACAUACUGGUGCAUGCGAAUGGAUCUGUGAAGCUUGCGGACUUUGGACUUGCUAAGCAGACCUCCAAACUCAAUGUGCUAAAAUCAUGCAAAGGAACUGUAUAUUGGAUGGCACCUGAGGUCGUCAAUCCCAAGAAGACAUAUGGACCUGCAGCUGAUAUAUGGAGUUUGGGUUGCACGGUCCUAGAGAUGUUGACACGUCAACUUCCCUAUCCUGAUCUGGAGUGGACACAAGCCCUAUACAGGAUUGGUAAGGGUGAACCACCAGCAAUUCCAAGUGGUCUUUCGAAGGAAGCUCGUGAUUUCAUUAGCCAGUGUGUAAAACCGAAUCCAGAAGACAGACCAUCCGCAGCCAAACUUUUGGACCAUCCUUUUGUGAAUAGAUCUAUGCGGUCUAUACGGUCUAUGAGGACAUAUACACGCCCAAAUUCUUCUACACGUGGCAUGAGUGGAUAG
rnacentral:rRNA from 1 species